CUUGCAUCUUCUUCGACUCCUCAAUACUCCUAUAUUCUUGUGUAUCAAGAAGCUGAUCCACUUUCCUUAUUUCAUCCACUGCUACAUCUUCUUCAAUCUCAUCAUCAUCCUCGUCGUCCUCAUCGUUUUGGUUCACUACACGUUCUUUAAUACCUUGUGCACCAUCUCUGGCUGCUCUCCAAGCUCCAUCCAGGGUCUUUUUAGCCGUAUCCCCCACAUUCUCCGCCAUCCCCACUGCCUUCUUUAUCCCAUCUUUCGCCGUAUCCGCCGCGAAGCUCGUCGCGCUACCUGGAGGCCGCCCUUCUCCGGUGACAAACGAGGGGUGUUUUGUCUCGUACAUACUGUCUCUCGGUGCAUCAUCUGCCGAUGACCCUUCCGCUUCAGCUACCGCAUUACUUCCCUAUGGAAAAAAAAAACCAUUUCCUUAAAUUCAUCAAAAAAAUGAAAAAUUAUUGUUUAAAAAAAAAACAUAAUUCAUACUUC
rnacentral:lncRNA from 1 species